UGGGCGGACGGGGGAGUAAUGUCUGGGAAACUGCCUGAUGGAGGGGGAUAACUACUGGAAACGGUAGCUAAUACCGCAUAACGUCGCAAGACCAAAGAGGGGGACCUUCGGGCCUCUUGCCAUCGGAUGUGCCCAGAUGGGAUUAGCUAGUAGGUGGGGUAACGGCUCACCUAGGCGACGAUCCCUAGCUGGUCUGAGAGGAUGACCAGCCACACUGGAACUGAGACACGGUCCAG
rnacentral:rRNA from 1 species